rnacentral:lncRNA from 1 species
AGACUAGAAAAUCAAACAUGUUCUUCUGAUAUCUCCAACAAAACUGAAGAAAAACAAAAUACUAUCAGGUAAUACAAUUCCAUUUCCAUUGACAGUGACACCAGCAGCAGCUCAGGCCUUUUGCUUGCCAUAGAACUUCUGCUUCUCGUCUGUGGUCUGGAAGCGCCCGUGCCCGAACUUGGACGAGGUGUCGAUGAACUUGAGCUUGAUCUCCUCCAGAGCCAGCCGAGAGGUCUGCUUCAGCAGAGAUUGGCGGAGAGUCACCACCCUCUUCUUGGGGCCAACGCAGCAACCCUUGAUCAUCAGGUAGUCACCUUUGACAAUACCAUAGUGGGGGAAGCCACCCAUGGGAGUGAUGUCCUUCUCAGUCCUGUAAACAAUCAGCAUUCAGUAAUCAGUACAUGAACUGGUAACUGAAAGAGCACAUUGAAGAUUGUGAAUCAUGUAACUGCAGUGAAUCAACAAACAAGAAUACCUGU